UCCCGGCUUCCGCGCAAAACUUCGAGCCUGUCCACGUGAAGUUGUCGCUCCGGUUCAGAGGGGGAAAGAGCUUAGGGUGAAGCGGGGCAGUGGCGACAGCGGUGGCUGUGCGCGCGCUCUCUUUUUCUUUUCUUCCACUUUUUCCCCACCCCUGUCUUAGUCCAGAGUUUUGGCUCCUCUCCUUUCCUCCUCCCCCUCGGAGCCGGCUUCUCCCCCCGCCCCGUUGCUCCCCCACUAGUGUACGCUAUUUGUCUGGGGGUGGCCGAAGGGGAUGUCCUGUUUUCACCAGAGGCACAACGCGAAGGGGAAGCUCAGACAUUGGAAGGAACGAGAGUAAAUACCUAAAUACAGACGCACGGGUCCGCGGCUGGGACAGACACUUGAACUUCAGAUCCCGAGGCGAUCCGGGCUUCGGGAGAUAGUCCACUUUUUAAUUGAAGGAGGCUGCUUCUGUUUGGGGGUGGCCGGAGAAGUGAGAAAACCACAUGGAAGACUCCCAGGACUUAAAUGAGCAAUCAGUAAAGAAAACGUGCACAGACCCAGACGUUUCAGAAGCUCAGAAUUCCAGGUACUGUAAAAUGGAGGCCGGGACUCCACUAAGGAAAAUGGCAAUUCUGGAGAACUA